AUGGUUGCUUUUAAUUCAAUCGUGCAGAAAAGACGAACAAAUUGUGUCACUGACUGAGUGGAAACUAGCUGCGCAUUAUGUUGACUGAAUCCAAUGAGCAACACAAAGAAAGCAAGGACAGAGCGAUAAUUGCUCUCUCUGUUCCAACGAUGUACCUUGCAUCUUGCCCAAAGUCAGCUGGGUCAAAAACACACAGGACAUCUGGUGCGUUUCUUCCCGUCAGUCGUCAGUGAUGGACUGAGAAGGUCCAUCGUUGCUCACCCAGUUGGUGACGAUUCCGGUGACGGACGAAUACCCGCUUGCAUCAGCAACAUGAUAUUGGAGGCGCUGAGGGUGACUCCCAAACUUCAUAGCCAUGGGUCAAAAAUACCGGCGGGAGAGGUCUUCAUUAAUCCUCUAUAGGAGGCUCUACAGACCCAUUUUUUGUAGUGGUGUACGACAACUUUAAAAUCUCAAUAUUUUUUUUUUCGCCAGGCCAGAUGUGUGUGCAAAUCUUGGUGAGUUUUUGUUUAUGUUUAGGUUCCCAAAAAUGUAAAUUUUUGACUUGGAAUUAGACAGUCAUUAGGCAGCGUCAAUAGUUUCCCACCAAAGUAUGUACAGUACGCACAACCCUUUGUUUUCCCCUUUGUGCAGAAGGAAGGAGCGAGCCAUAACAGGGCGCCCUCUCUGUCCUCUGCAUGCUAGUCUGUCAGUAGGUCUAGUGCAGACUUGCCCUCCUUUUGAGCCAAUCACGCGGCCGCCGGCGCGCGGCAGCCCACCAAUGAGCAGGCAGGCCCGGCGGGGGCUCGAUGCGGAGUAGGCGUUGACUUCGUAUGAUGUAAUCGAGGCUUAAUUUACAGGAUGGUCGCGAGGAGUGAACCCAAAUCGCCCCGAGAAGCUUAAUCGCUAAAAAAGGUAGACUCUGCUGCAACACUUCCAUGGAAAUGACAUGCACAACUUUGCACAGUUGAUCUUCUGAACCUAACUUCGGGGAGA